GCAAUGUGAGUGCGUUACCAACCAGAGGGGGAAAGCGGUGGCUGUGUUGGUAAACAUAUCAAACACAAACUCUCUUAGGAAAACAGCAACAACAACAACAACACUAGAUUCUGAUUCAACUCACAAUAUCUAUCUCAUGCCUAUAUCUCAAACACCCCUCAUAGCAUACCAAUCCUGCUUAUAUCACACUGUUCAUUAAUACUGUAGCACAACAGAGUGUCCCAAGCUGUAUCGACUGUAUGUCAACCUCAAGUGAGUAGCAUUUGUAAUGCAGAUUGCGCAUGGAGUAUUCUGUUUGUGACACAGCGUGGCUCAAUGAAUGGAGCCUCUUUACAUUAGCGCUUGCAUGCUCUCCCCAGAUAGAAAGCUGUGAGAAGAUCAUGGCUUGGAUUUAAUUAAAGCCUGCGGUUUAUUUUUUCAUUUAUUUUCUCAUUCAUGUCAUUUGUUUUGUGUUUUUUUGUCAUGAAGCCAAGAUAGCGUCAAUAUUCACACAUUGUUCUUAAUUAAGAAGGAGCAGAUAUUUGGUGUCUUGGAACCAAGAGGCACUUCUGUGUAAGAGUACGCUGCCGGAAUAAUAACAAGAGAAAUAUCCAUUUUCUUUUAUCUUUUUUUUUUCCCCCUCCGUGUUUUCUCUCUUCAUUUCAUUCCCCCCUCGAAUGUCUUUGUUUUUCCUUCAGUCAGUCCUCUAAUAGGAAGUGCCCUGCUUAAUUCCGCUUUGAGAAUCUGAUCAAUGGACAAGGCGGGGCUUUGGGAUUUGAUUAGAUCUCAAUAUAGCGGUUCUCUGCCGUUAUUCCAAAUCCGAUUUCAUUUUCUCCGGAGAGAGUGGUGUGUGCGCUCGAGGAUCGGCGGCGGUAAUAACAUUGAUUGUGUUGCUAACCAGUGUCACUUACCAAAGCGCAUGCACAAUGUCCCAUUCGCACAGGGCACCAACCAAUAGACAAACAGUCGAGGGAGAGAGAGAGAGAAAGAAAUCUCCAUUAAUUGAAGCCUCGAGAGAGAAAGAGAGAAAGAGAGAGAAGGGCCCCCGAUACUGCCUGACAUCUUAACUGUGUGAUCAAUACGUCUCCGUACAGCUGUGUUGCCUCUGAGGUAAUUGGCAUCCUGGCGUUGCCGGAUUCCCGCCAACAGCCUCCACACUUCCUCCGUCUCAUCCUGCGGGACAAGUCAGACCUUGAGUGAUGGCUGGGAUAGACAUAGAGACAGCGAGGAUAGACAUAAAGACAGUGAGGCACCGGAAUUUCGAAUGACAGGGAGAUUGAUUCCUCCGGAGAGCCGAGAGCUGAGCGGUUAAUGGAAUAUUGGCUAGUGCCGACGUCGCGGAGCUCAUAACAAUGUGCUCGGGCUACUGUUGGUGAUUGUGGGUAAUUAACGGAGCAGGCCUGCAGUGGGGACAUGCCCUGGGGCUCAGAGGGAAAUGAAGCCACUUUUCUUUUUCUUUCUCGUCUGAGUUUGCGUUUUCUCAUUUUCUCUCAACCAAGUUCCAUUUGGUUGAGGACGCAUUCGUUACACUGACACAAAAGGUGACAAAGGAUCAACUGUACACCUUGAUUAGAAAGUCCGACCGAAUUUGAGAUAUCAGUACAUACAGUGUGAAAAACGACUUUUCUGAGGUGACUGUUUUCCCAGCUGCCUAAAAGACGCCACAGGCCACAUUAGGAGUCACACAGAAGUGUCCCCUCCCUCUCCCCCUCUCCUGCAGCCAUCUCAUGGAGCCUUAAUAAGAGCAAUAGCCAAAGAACCCAUUCUAAUAGCAUCAUUAUCUUUUCACCCACCUCCGCCAUCACUCCCUGACCCGGUACGGAGGGAGGCUCUGUGAUCCCCCGGAAAGGCAGAUGGAGAUCUGAGAGGUGGGCACGUCCGUGGCACAUCCCCGGGUGCAGUGUUUCAACCGACGCCCCGCUGCUGCUCCUGGGCGGCUAUUCUCUUUAGAUUUGGGCUCAAAUUAGCCAGUGUGCCGUGUGUGUGUCUUCUUUUAAUAUCUUCUCGUGUGCAUUCAGAUAGAAAAGAAACAAAGAAAGAAAGAGGGAGGGAGAGAGAGAGAGAGAGAGAGAAUGCCUGACAGUUGACCCAUUCAGGUGGGUAUGUUUUAUAUUUUCUUUACCAGAACAAUAAAAGGGAUGAAUGCAAAGGACAGUAAUGCAAUUUACCUCACAUGAAAGUGAAGAACACGAGAAACUGAGAAAGAGAAGUGAUAUGAAAGCAACGAUGACUACCACUGCACUCACAGAUACACAGACAUACAGUAGAUACACACUGAAACACAAACUCUCUCUCUCUCUCUCACACACACACAUACACACACACACACACACACACACACAAAGUCAUCCUCAUCUCCCUGCAAGCCCAUUUCCUCCUUGCAUCCCCGCUUUCCAUCAGCUCCCUGUCUGUGAGUUAGCCUCUUUUUUUCCUCCUUUCAUUUCAGGGCGACAGGGAAGAGACACUGAGAGACAGAGGGCUCCUCUGGUGCCAAUAUCCCCGUCCCUUUAUCUCUGCCAGUGUGACGCUCCCUUUCGUCCCGUCUCUGGUGCCAGGGAUCCGGUCUGCUUCCGCCAGCGGAGCCCCGCUGACACCCGUCACGUCAGAUGUCAGAUGUUCCCCAAAGGACAGGAUGCGCCGGCACCCGCUAGUCUCUCUCACAAAUCUACAUUUUUUUUGUUUUUUUCAGUGUAUGUGGGAGCAUGUCAUAAUGUUGCAAAUGUCGGCACCCCACCAGACGACAGCCUGCCCACUCCAAGCGAUGCAGCAUCUGGAGGAGGAUGGAGUUUUGGUUGGACCCUCGUGACCCCUCUUGCACACAUCACUCCACACAGUCUGGCACCACUCGGGCGAGCCUGAAGCCGGGGGCAAAUGAAGAUAGCUGGGCAUAAAACAAAAUGAAGAUAGCUGGGCAUAUAACAAAAUGAAGAUAGCUGGGCAUAUAACAACAUGAAGAUAGCUGGGCAUAUAACAACAUGAAGAUAGCUGGGCAUAUAACAAAAUGAAGAUAGCUGGGCAUAUAACAACAUGAAGAUAGCUGGGCAUAUAACAACAUGAAGAUAGCUGGGCAUAUAACAACAGCUCUACAACAUGGAGGAAGGGGCACUGGAACAUAACCAGACAUGAUUCACAGGAAACUGUGAUGCGCAUAAUGGCCUAUUGUACCCUCUGUAACCAGAUCAUAAGCUCAGUAGGCUACUCAGCAAGGAGGGACCCGAAUGGCAUUUUUCAUACUGGUUUAGAGCCACCCCUUGCAAUCUGGAGCCAAGCACACACACAGCUCCAUUUAGUCAACAACAUCACCUUCCAGAUCCUCACAGUAAAGGUGGGCAGCUCACUGAAGCCUCUCCUUGUUUGCAUGAGGUGGGCCGAUACCAAACUCAAGAGCCCCUCUCUCCAACAGAGCUUAUCCCAGCACUCUGACAAAUGUGUCUCCAGCACGGGCUGAUGGAGAGCUCUGAUAAUGACCUGAUUGUAUCUCACUCAGUCUGUUCUCCCGCACUGGAUCUCUGUCAGCGCUGCUGUCAUGCUACACCCAGCGUGAGUGCUGGCUGGCAGGCGCUGCCUUGUAAAUCAGACAGACCUGGUUUCACUCACUGUGAGACCGUCCACAAGAGAGAUGCAGAAACUCAGGGCCAAGGCACACACACACAAAAAAAAGAAGAAGUCAGGAGGACAGUUUAAUUAUGGAUCUCGAAAUAAACCACCCCAACGUCUUUGUUGUUUGUUUCCAGUCAAACAGAUUGUCUUUUUCUUGUUUUUAAUGAAAGCUGUUCAUUAAACUCAAGGUUUUAUAAACUGAAAUGAUUAACUAAAAGUCGAGCCUCUUUAUGCCUGUUAGGCUGCAGUUAAGGGCUUUGGAUGGGAGAGGGGGAAGGCGUCUAUAAUUAAGGAGUCAGUGAUGAUAUACGAAAAGCAUCCUGACGAGUCUCCAAAGACACAAUAAAAGGCUGUUUGCUAACAAGCUAGUGCCAGUAAUGACGGCUGCUUCAAAGAGAGCAGGGCUCUCUGAAACGAGGGCGUUAAGUGGCGCUGACAGAUUCAGAAAUAAUUUUAGGACCUUCGUUUUGAACAGGUGACUAAAGAAGAAGAAAAAUCAAGAAAUGUUUUGAAGUUGACCUCUAGAAUAGUCUCAUUCCUGUAAACCUCCCAUAAAAGUGAGGUUAAAUACACAUACUAUUGUAGUUAUCAGACAUGUUAGCCUCAAAACACCAGGAUUAGCAAAGCCAGGCCAGACAAAAAAAACGAUUUAAAAACGAUUUAAACUUCAUACAUAACAACAAGCCGUUUAGAAUGAGAAUCUGUUUUUCAGGCUCUAUCUUCAUGUUUCAUGAAAAAAAAAAAAAAAAAAAUAUUUGAAUAAACAUACAUGCAGUAGCCAUGACAAAAGUCAAGUGAUAUAAAUACUCCUACGUGCCUCAUUUCAUCUUAGUUUGAGCGCUGCUGCCACCUGUGCUGUUAUUUCUAUGAUCGCAUGCUUAAAUCUAUAUUAUCCCCCAUACAUCUCCUGGAUUAUGACAUGGUAUAUUACAAAAUGGACACUAUGUGCAAUCAAUUUUCAGUUCGACUGCACGCUUUCUCUAUGAGGAGAUUGUCAUUAACUUGCAGAUUAUUCAUAUGUACUGGGCUUCUACUUGAUCCCCAAGGUAGGCUUCAAUCUAGGUCAUAAUUGUUCAUUGAACACUAUAAACACAAAGGAUAUAUCAUUUAUGAAGUUGUUAAGCAAGAGUAUUUUGCAGGGAAAGUGGCUAAAUAUUGUAAAAGAUGACAAAACUGUCAGUAUACCAUGUCACAGCACAGUUUACCUGAAAACUGUAGUAUAAUAGUCCUUUCAACUCUCUCUCUCUCUCUUAAUUUGCAUGAGAGUGUGUGUGUGUGUGUGUGUGAGAGAGAGAAAGUGUGUGUGUAGGUGUGCGUGUGUCUGUAUGUGUGACAGUGUCUUCCAUCACAUCAAACUCUCCUAUUCAUUAUGAGCAGUGCAAUAAAGACUAUUUCUAAAUGAUCGGCACUUUCUCAUUUUCUGACUUUUCCACGGCGCGUGUCAGAGCUGUCUCAGAUCUCUGAUUAGAUGGACGCACGGCAAAGGCACCUCCUCGAGGC
ensembl:lncRNA